rnacentral:rRNA from 1 species
GGGGGAACUGAAACAUCUAAGUACCCCGAGGAAAAGAAAUCAACCGAGAUUCCCCCAGUAGCGGCGAGCGAACGGGGAGCAGCCCAGAGCCUGAAUCAGUGUGUGUGUUAGUGGAAGCGUCUGGAAAGGCGCGCGAUACAGGGUGACAGCCCCGUACACAAAAAUGCACAUGCUGUGAGCUCGAUGAGUAGGGCGGGACACGUGGUAUCCUGUCUGAAUAUGGGGGGACCAUCCUCCAAGGCUAAAUACUCCUGACUGACCGAUAGUGAACCAGUACCGUGAGGGAAAGGCGAAAAGAACCCCGGCGAGGGGAGUGAAAAAGAACCUGAAACCGUGUACGUACAAGCAGUGGGAGCACGCUUAGGCGUGUGACUGCGUACCUUUUGUAUAAUGGGUCAGCGACUUAUAUUCUGUAGCAAGGUUAACCGAAUAGGGGAGCCGAAGGGAAACCGAGUCUUAACUGGGCGUUAAGUUGCAGGGUAUAGACCCGAAACCCGGUGAUCUAGCCAUGGGCAGGUUGAAGGUUGGGUAACACUAACUGGAGGACCGAACCGACUAAUGUUGAAAAAUUAGCGGAUGACUUGUGGCUGGGGGUGAAAGGCCAAUCAAACCGGGAGAUAGCUGGUUCUCCCCGAAAGCUAUUUAGGUAGCGCCUCGUGAAUUCAUCUCCGGGGGUAGAGCACUGUUUCGGCAAGGGGGUCAUCCCGACUUACCAACCCGAUGCAAACUACGAAUACCGGAGAAUGUUAUCACGGGAGACACACGGCGGGUGCUAACGUCCGUCGUGAAGAGGGAAACAACCCAGACCGCCAGCUAAGGUCCCAAAGUCAUGGUUAAGUGGGAAACGAUGUGGGAAGGCCCAGACAGCCAGGAUGUUGGCUUAGAAGCAGCCAUCAUUUAAAGAAAGCGUAAUAGCUCACUGGUCGAGUCGGCCUGCGCGGAAGAUGUAACGGGGCUAAACCAUGCACCGAAGCUGCGGCAGCGACGCUUAUGCGUUGUUGGGUAGGGGAGCGUUCUGUAAGCCUGCGAAGGUGUGCUGUGAGGCAUGCUGGAGGUAUCAGAAGUGCGAAUGCUGACAUAAGUAACGAUAAAGCGGGUGAAAAGCCCGCUCGCCGGAAGACCAAGGGUUCCUGUCCAACGUUAAUCGGGGCAGGGUGAGUCGACCCCUAAGGCGAGGCCGAAAGGCGUAGUCGAUGGGAAACAGGUUAAUAUUCCUGUACUUGGUGUUACUGCGAAGGGGGGACGGAGAAGGCUAUGUUGGCCGGGCGACGGUUGUCCCGGUUUAAGCGUGUAGGCUGGUUUUCCAGGCAAAUCCGGAAAAUCAAGGCUGAGGCGUGAUGACGAGGCACUACGGUGCUGAAGCAACAAAUGCCCUGCUUCCAGGAAAAGCCUCUAAGCAUCAGGUAACAUCAAAUCGUACCCCAAACCGACACAGGUGGUCAGGUAGAGAAUACCAAGGCGCUUGAGAGAACUCGGGUGAAGGAACUAGGCAAAAUGGUGCCGUAACUUCGGGAGAAGGCACGCUGAUAUGUAGGUGAAGCGACUUGCUCGUGGAGCUGAAAUCAGUCGAAGAUACCAGCUGGCUGCAACUGUUUAUUAAAAACACAGCACUGUGCAAACACGAAAGUGGACGUAUACGGUGUGACGCCUGCCCGGUGC